UUCCUUCCACCGAAGAGGCCCUCUGUGUGGCCUUUAAAAAUUGAGUUAGGUGUAUGUGCUUGGCUGAGGAGCCAAUGGGGCGAAGCUACCAUCUGUGGGAUUAUGACCAAACGCCUCUAAGUCAGAAUCCCGCUCAGGCGGAACGAUAAGGCAGAGCCGUGGGAGCCUCUGUUGGCCUCGGAUAGCCGGUCCCCCGCCGUCCCUGCUGGUGGGCCGGCGCACCCUCGCGGCAUGGUGUUCCACCGCGUCGGGUCUGGGGUCUGGUGCGGAGAGCCCUUCGUCCUGGGAAACGGGGUGCGGCCGGAAAGGGGGCCGCCUCCCCACGCCCUUCACGCAAUGCACGUUCGUGGGGAACCUGGCGCUAAACCAUUCGUAGACAACCUGCUUCUGGGUCGGGCUUUCGUAUGUAGCAGAGCAGCUCCCUCGCUGCGAUCUAUUGAAAGUCAGCCCUCAACACAAGGGUUU
rnacentral:ncRNA from 1 species